rnacentral:lncRNA from 1 species
GAAAAUCAAAUCCACUCUCCAAUACUCCUCUAAGUCUGGCUGCCUCCAUAGAUAGGUCUGAGACCUCAGUAGUGCACUCCUGUGGCUGUGGAUGGGCCAGAGCUAACACUUGCCCCUGCAAGUCAAGUAUCCUCCCAGUCAGUCUCAAAAUGUAACCCUCGAGCUGCUGAAUCCGAACUGACUGAUCUGAGAUCAUCUAAAAUACAGUGGAGAUAUGGGAGAUCAA